rnacentral:rRNA from 1 species
UACAUAGGUCCCAAGCGUUGUUCGGAUUCACUGGGCGUAAAGGGUGCGUAGGCGGUCGGGUAAGUCUGAUGUGAAAUCUCACAGCUUAACUGUGAAACUGCAUUGGAUACUAUCCGGCUAGAGGAAUGGAGGGGAGACUGGAAUACUUGGUGUAGCAGUGAAAUGCGUAGAUAUCAAGUGGAACACCAGUGGCGAAGGCGAGUCUCUGGACAUUUCCUGACGCUGAGGCACGAAAGCCAGGGGAGCAAACGGG